UAUUUUCACAGUAAUGUUCCGAAAACAGUUUUAAUUGUAAUAAAUUACUGCUAAAUCUUGUAAAACCCUGGAGGUUUUUUACAGAGUGAUAUUUAUACGUCCCGCUACAGGGCAUGGAAGUUCAGCGGUUUCGAGGAGGGCCGAAACAACCUCAUCUCCUCUGCUCGAUCAGAAACCACCAGCAUGCAGAAUUCAUUUUGGAAUGGGGCUUUCAUUCUUCUCUGGGUAAACGGUUUGCUCACGAAUGAAUACCAGAAGCACAGAUCUGUGCAGAAUCAAGGAUAUGUGCCUCAGCGUAAGAGGAAAUCCCCUGUGACGACCCCACACCACAAACUUUGUACACAGUUGUUUCUGCAUAUUCGUCACAUCUUUUGCCCACUCAUGAAAAGAGGAAAUGCUCUUUAAAGGACGACUGGGAAUUGUUUAGCCUCCUUAAGAUCAGCAUAAUUGGUGUAUUGGCCGUCAGGACUUUCUUGGAGAACUUCUGAAACCUAACAGACUGUAAAUAAUUGAAAUGUCCCUGGUGGGACCGUUUGGACAAGGACAAGAGCUAUUACCAUCCACAAUGCCAUUUCGCCAAGGAAAAGUGCACGCAGCUCGCAGCACACCUCUUUAUCGUGGGAAAUUCCAAUUCAGCAUUAUCUUUUGCCUUGGGGCUCCUCUGGUAAUCGCUACAAUCAAUGAACACAACUGUUUUUUAACUCAUAUGAGUCAUUACAUCACAAGACAGAAAUCAUUAUGUGAUUAAUCAGUGUAAAAUUGCUGUAAUGAUUUUGCCUUUUACUAAAUUAUGUCUUUCUCAGCCAUUUAACUCAUGAUCAGAAGAGCGUGAGUGUUGUUCAGCCGCGGAUAAGUGUCGUUACUAAAUUAUCUUAAUGCUUUACAAUUAAAUAGAUCAUAGAGAAAGGGGUUCCCCAGUUGACACUAGGACACAAUUAAAAUCAGCAUGUGUUAAAUUCUUGACCGCAGAUCUCUUGGCAAGGAUCCACAGCAGAUGGAAGCAGGAUUUUGUCUUUAUGAACGUUGCGACAUCUUACUGGUAACCAUUCGAGCGGGAAUGUGUCCGUUGUAAUGUUUUUAACUUGUCAUG